UAACAGCUUCUGAGCAGGAGACCCCUGACUGGCCAGUCAGCAAGCUGCCUGCAUAUUGCACAGGGAACCUCCAGAAAAGCAGCUUUUGUGAGUUGCUGGCUAUGGGUGACAGCUUUCAGGUGAUGCAGAUUGAGUCAUCUAUGCUUCUUUUUUAGAUGUCUUCAGAAUCUCCAGGGACAGAAAAUACAAAAGUGAGGAGUUGUCCAUAGGUAAAGUUCUGCCCCAGCAUAAAGCCGAGAGAGCCAAGUUUGGUUGGAAGGACUUAUGUGGAAGAAGGAAAGAACCAACUGCCAAAGUUUUCCUCUGGCCUCCAUAUGCAUGUGUCCAGAGCAGGCUGCAAGUCCAAGAAUAUUUGGAUGGAACAAAUUAAACUUGGGUUUAAAAAGAGAGAGACCAUGAAAUUCGGUCAAGGUUACCUGCUAUAUCCUUGAGGAAUUUAAUCAAGAUGGUUGGAGGGGCCACAGCAAAACUGAGGCUGUGACAAUUUUAUUGAGAGCAAUCAAACUUUUACCUUUAUCAGAAACAGAAUGUAGUGUCGAUUGCCAGGAUUCACGCGGUUGUAGUUGCCAGGAUACAAAAAUGUUCGCUAACUAUAAAGGGAACACAAGAUUGAUGUCUAAGACCAAUUGUCCUGUCAAACUUCCAUGCUCCCUUGACUACUAAGGGCACGUCCAGAGAAACACAAAGAGGCUUGGGAGCUUCACUGUCUGCUGAAGGAGUGCGUCUGUCUCCCAGGAACUGGAAGGCACAUCCAGGAACUGCCAUGGAUUCCAACCUUAAAAACCCAUGAUAUUUACCUCUCAAGGCAGCUAGACCAGAACUGCAUGGUUCCCUGCAAGGUUUCUCAUGGACACAUUAUUACAUCAAAGGCAGCAGCGCUAGGUGCUGGUCCCGGCCUCCUUUAAUGUACCACACAGCCAUCUUCCAGUUAAAGGUUUGUCUGCCAGCUGGCCAAAGGUCUAUAUCUCUCCAUGUGUUUUUACUCACAACCUUUUUUUCUUUAUUUCUCUUUUGUU